AUGACUAUUGCGUCAUCGUGGAAGUCGUCGUGGUUCCCCGAAAGGCCUCCACGUCUUCUCCCAGCAUCGGGGCCUUUGGACGCUUCCGGGCGCUGCGGGCACUUGCGCGAGGAGCCCUCGGCUCCCCAGGCGGCUCCCCUCCUCCCCUCCGCGGUCCUCGGCUCCUCCUCCUCCUGCGCGCCCCUCCGCGCGGCCCUCGCAGGGAGUGGGGCUCGGGUGCGCCGGCAGGGCCGCGCUCGGGGAGGCGCCUGGGCCCGCCCUCCUCCGGGGCGCCGCGGGAGGGGCCCGGGCUGGCGCGGGGCGGGGAGAGCCGCCUGGCCCCUCCCCUCCGCCGCCCUCCCCAAAGUUGCCGUCUCCCCCGGGGCCGGCCGGUCUUAUGAUCCGGCGGAUCCUCUUGGGGAGGCCGGGCCGGGGAGAGGGCGCGGGUGCCGAGUGGCGGGGGCAGCGGGCGGGCGCGGCGACCGGGGCCGGGGCGGGGAUCCGGGCGGCGACCGCGGCGGCGGCAGCGCCCCGGGCCCGCCGCCCCCUCCCCUCCGGCGAGGGGAGCCGCUGCAUGGGGCCGGGGGGGCGGCCCUGCGGCGCGGAGCGGCGGCGACGGCGGCGGACCCCCCAGGCGGGCUGGGGCUGAGCCCGGGGCCGGGGCGGGGGCUCCGGGGGGACCAUGCCCGGAGGCCGGCCGGCAGCAGCAUGGCUCACGGGCCCGGCGCGCUGAUGCUCAAGUGCGUGGUGGUCGGCGACGGGGCGGUGGGCAAGACGUGCCUACUCAUGAGCUAUGCCAACGACGCCUUCCCGGAGGAGUACGUGCCCACCGUCUUCGACCACUACGCAGUCAGCGUCACCGUGGGGGGCAAGCAGUACCUCCUAGGACUCUAUGACACGGCCGGACAGUAUAAACAAACAGGAUGACAGGAGAAGCUCGUGGUGCCACAGAAGUGUGGAGCAUGGCGACGCUUAAGCUGAAUUGGGAAUUCAGAGAAGAUCUGCUGGAUGAAGUGAUUUCCAGACUCAAACCUAGAAGACGAGUGGGAGCUCCCAGGUGAAGAAAUACAGAGAGAGAGAAGAAACGGAAACUCGCUGGGCAGGGUCUUGUUCUGUCACCCAGGCUGGAAUGCAGUGGCGUGAUCUCAGCUCACUGCAGCCUCAAUCUCCCAGGCUCAAGUGAUCGUCCCACCUCAGCCUGCCAAGUAGCUGGGACUAUAGGCACAUACCACCACACCUGGCUCAUUUUUUAUUUUUGUAGAGAUGGCAUUUUGCCGUGUUGCCCACACUGAUCUUGAACUCCUGGACUCAAGCAAUCCACCUGUCUCAGCCUCCCAGAGUGCUGUGAUUACAGGCAUAAGCCACUGCACCCAGCCUCCUGUGAUGUUUCAAAUGAAAUAAAGUUCAAUCUUUCUCCUUCAGUGUGGACUGAAAUUACCUUCCUAGAAAAUUCAUUAAAGUCUGAGGGCCGUGGCUCAUGCCUAUAAUCCCAACAUUUUAGGGGGCUGAGGCAGGAUAAUUGCUUGAGCCCAGGAGUUCGAUACUAGCCCAGGCAACAGAGCAAGACCCCUGUCUCUACAAAAAAAAAUAAAAAAAUUUCUGACUAGCUGGGCAUGGUGGCACAUGCCUGUAGUAUCAGCUACUCAGGAGGCUGAAGUGGAGGCUAGAGCCCAGGAGGUCAAGGCUGUAGCAAUCUGUGAUCAUACUAUUGCACUCCAGCCUGGGUGACAGAGUAAAACCGUGCUCAAAAAAGAAAAAGUUUAAAACAUGCGCUAAAGUUAUGCCAAAAAACUUUAUUUUUAUAUAUGCAGCAGAAUCAGGUCCUAGAUUCAUGCGAUUAUAAAAGGUGUUCCAUGGUGAGCAGGUCUAUGCAAACCUACCUUCAAAGGCCGAGGGAGCUGAGAGGCUGAAGAAAGAGACUGACAAAUCCAGUUUCUCAGAAAGAAAUAUUUAAUAGAGACUUAGAAACAGAAAUGAUGUCUAGGUAGGCCAAGAGAUGGUGGAUUCUCACAACCAAUCUCCAGAAAGUAUCCUUUAUAUAGCAAGCUUUUAGGGUAGAGACACAGGAAGCUCAUCAUCCCUGACUUCCUUUAGAAACUCAUGACCACGGGGAGGUUAUGAGGGCUUAUCUGUGCUACUGGAACACCUUGAAUUGUAGGUGUCAAACAUUGGUCAUCAUGGCAGUUUUACUUCAAGAUGGCGUCACUCUUGCUAUGCAACAGGCUGUUUUCCCACAAAAGAGUUUUUCAUAUUUAUGAACAUCUAGCAGUACACUCACCAGUCAUGCGGGCCUGGGGCUGGUUUUCCUCAUACAGGUCAUGUAGCACCAUGGCUCCCACCCUUAAAUGCUAGCAGAGUUUCCCCAUUCAUUUUGACAAUUGACAGCACCUCCCAAAUGUCCGAAAUGCCCCCCAGACAUAGGGUGGUACUGCCCUAGCUGAGAGCCGUGUGCCUACUCCUCUGCUGUACUCUACACAGAAUGAGGGCAGGGUCUGUGUUGUGUUCACUCGUCUAUACACAGCACUCAGCACCUACUUGCCAGAUAUUUGUGGAGUGAAUGAAUGAAUAUUCUAUCAACAUGAAAUUUGUGCCAAAAAGUUAGAAAAGGAGUAUACCACAUGGAAAUGUGACCAGCCAUUUACCUUCUUUCAGCAUGCUUUAGGCCAGCUGACCUCUGUUUUAGUGCAAGAGACUUGUAAUUAUAGCUCCAGACAAUAUGGAAUUUCAGCUCUAAAUCCUUUACAACUGGGAAGUCACCUCACCAUGCACAGAAGAAAUAGCACUGGCUCCGAAGUUGUGGUUUGUCUUUUUUUGGAAAGUCAGGCUUGUCUGCCGAAGAGCUCGAAACACUUGACCAGCUCUCUCAUUUAUCUUAACAUGUGUAUGCUAUAUUUAUUCUCCCUUCACAGAUGGGGAAGUGAAGCUUGCCUGAGGGCCGUAUUUAGCUAAGUCUUGAUCCUCUGCCUUGUGGUGGUCAGCUUAGAUAAAAUGGAAUCCUAAAACUUGAUUUUUAUCCCGUAGUGUGAACCUCCUCCCACAUUAAAUCUGCUAGUAGGGCUGCUCACAAGGGUAAGAAGUGUUAGUUUGAGUGUUUUUUAUCAUGUGACAUGGCGGUCUUCUAGUUCAGUGCCCUGCUUUUAGAGAUGAGGAAGUGCCAAUUCAUCACAACACAGUUAGAUAAUGACAAGGCCAGUCCUCUAGCUGGUUUCUUUCUGCUCCACCAGAUGUAAAUUUUCUCUCUGUUUCCUCCAGCCAACCUAAACAGGAGUUACGAUCAGUCAGGUGGCCAAAAGGAAAGCACAAUGGAAAAGAAGCCCAAGAUCUGGUUCCCUAGCUCCUAAAGAAUUGGUAUAUUAAUUAGGAGGCUGACUUAUUAUAAAUCAAAAUAUAUGAAGAUGACAGUAGCUAAAAGUAAGAAGCUAAACCUUUAAUUUCAAGAAUUCUUUUACUAAGUGCUGAUCAGGCCAGUGACAUAUAAAUACCAUUUCACAACUGAACUGAAAAUUAAAAAAGAAAAGAAAACACCAGAUGUUUGCAAAGUUUUUGAAAAACAGUGACCUCUUAAGAAUUUAUAGCACCUAAAAAAAACCUUUCUCUUCCCCAAAUUUUCUUUAGUCCAGGAGUGCUGGGAGGUAGUAGGAAGUGGUAGGCAAAUUCAGUAAACUCAUCACUGGUGAGUUUUGAACCAAACUUACCAAAGUGUUUUCAAAAAGGACCCAACCCAGCUUCCUUGAAAAACAGAGUUAUUUUUAAGUAGGUAAAAACUGAUAUUUUCAUUUCACAAAGUUAAAUAUAAAAUGAACUCAAAAGUGUCAAAAUGACUACACAAUAGAAAUGAGGUUUCAGGCCAGGCGCGGUGGCUCAUGCCUGUAAUCCCAGCACUUUGGGAGGCCGAGGGAGGCAGAUCACGCGGUCAGGAGAUUGAGACCCUCCUGGCUAACACGGUGAACACCCGUCUCUACUAAAAAUACAAAAAGUUAGCCAGGCGUGGUGGCAGGCACCUGUAAUCCCAGCUACUCAGGAGGCAGAGGCAGGAGAAUUGCUUGAACCCGGGAGGCGGAGGUGGCAGUGAGCCGAGAACAUGCUAUUGCACUCCAGUCUGGGCUAUAAGAGUGAGACUCCAUCUCAAAAAAUAAAAAAAAAAAAUGAAAUGAGGUUUCAUAGGCUACUCUGACCAAGCAUUACCAUAGACAUGUUGUGAUAUAUAAGUUAGAUGUAGGAGAAAACAGUUGCAUUCUCAGAAGCUGGCUUCAUGACAUGUGUCCUAUGGGCUUCCGUGUAGCACCCUUUGAAGGGUGGAGGGUUUCAAGAGCCGGAUGCCUGUUUUGGACUUCUUGCUAGAAACAGAUAUUGUAGAUGAAGAUUACUACUGUGUGCCUUGGAAGUGACACAGAGAAUUGCUACUGCACAGACCACAAAGCCACCACUUUUCAGGGACAUUCUUACUUAGUUGUCAUACGUUUUAUAUCUCUCUUCAAGUAGUCAGAAGCUGCUUUAGAUUUUGGAAGGCUGGGGCUUAUCUGUUACCCCUUGUUCUAGGUUGUUUCUCAUUCUAGGUUGUUACAGAGGAAAACUCUAGUAGGUUUUGAUAAAUGACUAUUUCCUACAUCAAAGUACUAUCCUGCAUUAUUUGGGAUUAUAAUACAUUCCUAUAGUACUUUAUGGUCUUCAAAGCAUUUGUCACUGAUAAGUCUUCCGUUUUUCAGACAGAGAAACUAAGGUCCUAAGGAAUAAGGGACUGGACUAAAGUCGCAUUCCUAGCAUGCUGGAUACGUUCAAGUUCUCUCCAUUCUGUAAGGACCAACUCAAGUGCCUCUUCCAAGAAGUCUUUUCUUAGUGUCCCCUCAUUACUACUUUUUAUAUUUACCACAUUCUAACUUGUAAUAUCAUGUUCACAUACAUCUUGUCUACCUUACCAUGAACAUCCUAAGAGCGAAAGCCGUUAUGCAUUUGUAUGUAUCUCCUCACCUACCAGAAUUGUUCUUGGGUGCUAACCUGAUGCACGUUCCCACACCAGCCUGCAGUUUCCUCUUCUAGGCUGUGGCUUGGAGGUCUGCAAGGCGCUGAAGUGGUGUCCAGGCACAUUGUGGGCACUGCUGCACAUUCAAGUGCAUUGUCUUAUUUUUAACAUACAGAUAUUUAAUGAGAGAGCUUUGUAAAUGUUUGCAAGGUGUUUUACAAAUAGCUGUUAUUUGAAUCUCAUCCUUCCCUCCUUUAUUUAUUGCAGUUAGCACUGUUCUGGGCACAUAGUAGGUGCUUAGUAAUGUUCCUUAAGCAUUUCUAUAUUCACUUGCUCCAGCUUACACUUUUAUUCCCUCCUAUUGUUGUAUAUGACUGUCUUUUUAUAUGUUUAUGUCUUGAAUUCCCAACUAAACAGCAAGCUCCAGAGGGCUAUAGUCUCAAUAAAUCUUUGCUGAUUGCUUUUAAAUAACACAUGAUAGCAUACCAGCUAACAAAGCAUGGCACAAGGUAAAUCGUCCAAUGUGAGUGUUUUUAUUUAAGAUAUGUUUUGGAUAUGUAUUUUAAAAUAGACAUACACAUCCCAAAAACAUAUAUUUUAAACAGAGAUCACUAAGGUAGGAGGGAACACCCAGGUCCACAUAAAGGGGACAAAGAAUGGUGCAGAAGUAGGAGGCUCCUGGGCACUGCUGGCUGAGCUGCACACAGAAAGGGGUCUUCAGCUGAUGGCCGUUGGCUACAUUUCUCUGUGGCAUUGGAAGAGCUUUUGUUUCCUCUCAGAGCACAUUUCUUUAGUUUUUUGUUUGCAGAUUCUUGUCAGGUGGUUAAGUGUGUGAUUUCUUUUUAUUUUCUUUUUUUUUUAAAGACAGGGUCUUACUCUGUCACCCAGGCAUGUUCAUGGCUCACUGCAGGCCCAACCUCUUGAGCUCAAGUGAUCCACCCACCUCAGCCUCCUGAGUAGCUGGGACUGCAGGCAUGUGCCACCAUGCCCAGCUAAUUUUUGUAUUUUUAGUAGAGACAGGAUUUCACCACAUUGGGAAGACUGGUCUCGAACUCCUGGACUCAAGCAAUCUUCCCACCUCGGCCUCCCAAAGUGGUGGGAUUACAAGUGUGAGCCACCGCACCUGGCCAUGUGUGAUAUUUUUAAUGUAAGGUUGUCAUUAUCACAUAUCAAGGACUCUUCAACAAGGGAGAGCCUGAACACUAAGCUGCCAGAACACACUUAAAAACUUGAUACUUCUGGUACUUAGCCAACUGGUAAGAAGCUAAAGAGUCUGCCAUGCAGUCUAACAGCCAUGUUGACUAAACUCACCAGUUCUUUCAUUGUUUUGAUGUUUUUAAUACACUUUUCUCUACCCCUGAGAAUGUUCUAGUUACCAUGCUGAAAUGUUUAAAUACCUGCAUUUUAAAAUUAGAACUAAAAUAUAAUUGGUUUGUUAAUUAGGAGGACACUGGAGAGUUGGCUGUGAGAAGUUGUGACUUUGAUAAGUUGAUCUUUUAAAAGUAAGGGCAGUUGCUCUACAUUUGACUUCUUUGUGUUGUCAAAUUUAAAAUAUAUGGCUCAAGAUGAAAGAUUCUGCACACUUCCACUUAUUCAUUCCCAAAUCCCACAUUUCAUAUUAAAUUCACUCAGGAUACUGUGUGAUGGAUAUAAACCAUUUUAUAUGAUGCAGAGUACAGUAUGCACAGGGGAUAAUUUAUUUGCUAAAUUUGCUAUCUGUUAUUAGACUUCUAAUUACUCAGCUGGAUAGAAGCAGAAAGGUCUCAUUCUUGUACUAACUGCCAAUUUUUUUUUUUUUUUUUUGAGACGGAGUCUAGCUCUGUUGCCCAGGCUGUAGUGCAGUGGUACAAUCUCUGCUCACUGCAACCUCUACCUCCUGGGUUCAAGUGAUUCUCCUGCCUCAGCCUUCCGAAUAGCUGGGAUUACAGGUGUGCACCACCACACCCAGAUAAUUUUUCUAUUUUUAGUAGAGAUGGUGUUUCACCACAUUGGCCAGGCUGGUCUUGGACUGCUGACCUCAAGAGUCCCACCUCAGCCUCCCAAAGUGCUGGGAUUACAGGCGUGGGCCAUCAUGCCCGGCCACUAACUGCCAAUUAUUUAGCCAGAGAUGACAGGCAGAAGGAAUUCAUUUUAGAUAGUUCAGACUUAAGAAGUAACAUUUCUUUCCAAGGAGGUCUAAACAUAUGUGUGUGUUUUAUUUUUUAAUAGCCCCAGUUCUUCACAUUUUAAUUAAUCAAACAAAACCUGCUAUUUAAGAAAUAUCUAGAAAUGAUUGGUCCAGUUGUCCUCCUUUGUGCCCACAUGUCUCUCACGGAGGAAAGUCAGGAUUCACUGUGGUUAUGAAGAGAAUCUGUACAAUAUAUUUACCUUCUGUAAAAUAUUUGGAUUAAUAUUGUUAAGCAUUUCUAGAGAACAUGGCAUUCAAUUAGUUUUUAUUUCUUGUCAUCUCUCACUAGAGAAAGAGCGCACACUUCUGUUUCCCUGAGGAGGUAAACUUGCUUGAAAAGUAAAAUUUCCAUUAAAAUCUCUAAUUUGGCUUUCUUAAAUAUGUCUAUUUUUGUUGCAUUUUAAAUAGUCUUAAGGCUACGUGACUAGUACAGUAAUAAUAUAUCAUUCUCUUUUAUUCAUCUGAAAAUUAUACUGUCUCAAGAGACCUGAGUUUUGUGUGUUUUGAUUUUAUUUCUUACUAGAAGACUUCUCUGUGAUUGGAGGGAGCUGCAAAGCUGAGGCAAGUGUGGGACUCAGGGGACCCUGCAUGGAUUUGCAGAGGAAUAAGAGACUUGGUUUCCCAUGGGAUAGAGAAUUUAUGUUUAAGCAUUGAAAGAGUUCUUUGAUGUACCAGGUAUUAGGCGUAGUGCUUUAGUUGCAUUAUUUCAUUUAUUCCUCAUAAUCCUAUGGGAUAGUAUUCCCAUUCCUAUUUCUGUGAAAAUUGGAAAUCUAAAUAUGGAUGAGGAGUGCUUUUUAAUGAGAACACCCCAUUUUCCGGCCAUGCCAACUGCAGGUUUGCUCAGAAGUGUGGAGUUGCUGGGUGCGAUGCUAAGAUGACAUACUCUUUCUUUUUUUUUUUUUUUUUCUUUUAUGGACUUGCAGUUUGAAACAGGCAGUAGAGCCCAGAAAGUACAUAUAAGGCACCCAAUUGUACUGUUUAACACAAGCUGAUUUUAAAAAUGUUAAAUUUUCAAGAAGUCUUCCUCUAGUAACUGUCUGGGGGUGUAACGUGUUUCAUACCCACCCUAUUUGAUUUCUUCAUUGUGAAUUUCUUAACACCAGAGCACUGCUUUAAUCAAAACCAUUUAGAGGCGUUCACUUUAAAAAAUAAAAGUUGCAGAAGAUUGGGGGUGGCAUUUCCCCUCUCGUCCUGUGAUAGCCAACACCUGAGAAAUCUUUUAAUGCCCACAGCUCCAGAUUAUAGGUGUGCCCUUCAAAAGCAUCACAGAAAAACAAAAGGGUUACCCACCAGUCAAGGGUUUGAGACAUUAACAUGCUUGAGUUGAAAGUUAUAUUAUGAAAAGUGUCAGAAAAAUGCAUGAAAGGAAAAUUGUUCCAUGAGGGAAAUACUACUGCUGAAACUCCAAGUGGAAGAUGAUGUUUUUAAUAUUCCCUUAGUUCCACAUUUGUGUAGUUCUGUAGUGAAACGAGUCAUUUAAGAGGGGAGGUGGCCCAGGCUAAAAAUAAAGUUUCUUUGAAACCAGAUGAGAGUCUAGCUAUGCCAAAAAUGGAAUCCGGACUCUGUUCACUCUCGAGAAUGUAAAUAAGUAGAAUUUUGUGUCACAUAAAAUAGUCUAUGCAAAAAAGGAUAUUCACUGCCUUUUGUGAUAGAGACUAAAAUAACCAUCAGGAGUAUAGCUGUUCUGGGGACUCUGAAGCAACAGUGUAAAAUGAUAUGGUAGUCUAACGUAUUCUGAUUUAGAAAGAUGUCCAAGACAAAGAAAGUGCAGAGCAACAAGUACUGCAUGAUUUCAUUUUAUGUACAGAUGUACGAAUAUGUGCAGUUACUGCUAUAUUCAUGCAUAGAAAAAGAACUGGAAGAAUAAACAUGAAAAUAUUAAGUAGAGGGAAUGAAAGUUGGAGAGUAAAGGAGGAUUUUGGUGGAUUUACUGUAUAUGUUUCUCUUUAAAUUUUCACACACACACACACACACACAA